CAGCGGCCUUCCCUUCGGGAAUCGCCGUUCCCUGGGCCCCUUGCCCGUGAAAAACGGGCGGCAGCCUGCGGGCUUCCGUGGCUGCCUGGCGGGAAAGAAGGGGUUUUUCCGCCAUGUUAAACUGCCCGGCCGCUGCCGGUGCCGUUGCGUGUGUGGGCGGGGCUGAGGGGAGCGCGGAGCGGGGACGGAGCGAGUGAGCUGCUCUGCCAUGGGAAUGCUGCGCGAAGCUGCGUUUCAGCGUUUCCAAGAUUAUUCGACUUUACGAGCCUAAAAAUGGGUGACCAAGGAAGAUGUGGCAGCCAGCAGUGGCCAUCACCUGGAGGGAGCUGUGGCAGAGGCUAGCAGAGGAAAAUGGACCAUGUUAUACAGGUGGCUUAACUUCCUGUUGUUAUGCAUACAGCUGUGGAGGAAUGUUACCUUCAUUCCACAAGAAUCCUGGCCAAGGAGAAGAGCUGAGAACUGG